rnacentral:lncRNA from 1 species
UCUUGUAGAUUUUUCUCAAAGAACCAGCUCUUGGUUUUGUUGAUUCUUUGUAUAGUUCUUUUUGUUUCUAUUUGGUUGAUUUCAGCCCUAAGUUUGAUUAUUUCCCGCCAUCUACUCCUCUUGGGUGUAGGGAUUAAAGGCGUACACCACCAUUGCCUGGCUCCUAUAAUUCUUUAAGGAAUUUUUGUGUUUCCUCUUUAAGGGCUUCUAGUUUUUUACCUGUGUUCUCUUGUAUUUCUUUAAGGGACUUAUUUAUGUCCUUCUUAAAUUCCUCUCUCAUCAUCAUGAGAUGUGAUUUUAAAUCAGAGGCUUGCUUUUCUGGUGUGUUGGGGUAACCAGGGCUCACUGUGGUGGGAGAACUGGGUUCUGACGAUUUCAACUAGCCUUGGUUUCUGUUGCUUAUGGUUUUUGUUGUUGGUGGUGGUUUGUUGGUGGUUUUCUUUCUUUUUUUUUUUUGGUGACAGGGUUUCUCUGUACAGCCGUGGCUGUCCUUGAACUCACUUUGUAGACCAGAUUGGCCUCAGAAAUCUGCCUGCCUCUGCCUCCCGAGUGCUGGGAUUAAAGGCGUGAGCCACCAUGCCCGGCUUGUUGCUUAUGUUCUUGCCCUUGCCUUUCACCAUUUGGUUAUCUCUGGUGUUACCUGGUCUUAAUGUCUCUGACAGUGGCUUGUCCUUCCUGCACACCUGUGUGUCAGUACUCCUGGGAGACCAGCUCUCUCCUGGCAGUAUUUGUGUAUGUAGUUCUGUGGUACAGAAUGAGCUCUGGGCGCAGACAGAAACUGGAAGGCUCCAGUCCCAGGCCACCCCUGUGUCCUGAGGGUUCUGGGAGUGUUCCUCUGAGCAGCAAUGGUGGCCCUACCUGUGCAACCUGCCCUUGCUAUAUCUGACUGGAGCCUGUCCUUCCUGUGAUCCUGCUUGAACUCCUCAGAGUUCAGCUAGGCUAUUUAAAUUUUGCUAUUAAGAUUUUGAUGUUCUUUGCAUAUUUGGGGCAGCUACCCGAAUCUAUAUCCUGCGAUUGUUUUCUCUCGUUCUGCAGAUUGUCUUUGCCCUUUCCAGCAUUGACUUUGUGGUGUGGAGUCCUUUAGUGUGAGGUAACCCCAUUUGUCAAGUUUUGCCUUUGUUUCCUGUGCCUUUAAGGAUGAGCGCAUAUGCUCCAUCCUGUUUUGAGACUCGUUUUAUUUCAAGUAUAGCCUUUUAUUUUUGAAUCUCUUUUUUUAUGGAAUGUGUAAACAUCCAUAUUUUAAUUUAACUUUCCUUCAUUUGGAAUUCCAUUUUAUGUUCCACAGUUAGAACAACAUCUUAAAUAUGGUAAAGGCUCAGCUUGUUAAUUGUAUGGCAAACCACACACACACACACACACACACACACACACACACACACACACACAUCACACUUGUACUUAGCUCAUCUAUCUAUUGCAUUCUUGUAUCCUGAUAUUGUAGGUUGGCUUUCCUUAUUUCUAACACAUCUUUGAGUAUUUAUUUGUGGUAUAUGUUUUUGUGGGUAUACAUGCAAGUGUGUGUGUGUAUGCAUAUGUAUAUACACACACUAUAUAUACAUAUAUAUAUAUAUGUAUAUAUAUAUAUAUAUGUAGAUAUAUGCCAUCAAAACAGUUGGUAAAUUGAAUAUAGUAAAUGAAGUAAGAUGUGAAAUUAAUGACUAUGGAGAUGCAUUAAUAGUAAAAUUUAUGGAUGACUUUCUUCAGUAAUUUUGUAUAGUUAUUGCUAAAAAUAGCUAAGCACACUUUAUGUGAUUGCAUUUACUAGGUACAGAUGAAUUCCCUUUUGAUAGAUUCAUUAUUCAAAGUCUAUUUAGAUUUAUUCUAUCAUUUUGCCAUUCAGAGUUCUCUGUUUUUUAAUAAGAUCUUAGAAUAGGAUUUGAAACACACUACAGAAACAUUAUCUCUGGACACUACUCAGUCUGAUUUGUUUGUUUGUUUUUUUUUAAUUUAAAAAGCAUCAUUUUAAAAGAAUGCAUAUUUAUAGCAUCCAUUGAAACAAAUAUAUUCAGUAAUGGUAGCAGUCCUUGGGUGGGAAACAGCAUUGGAUAAUUUGGCAAAGUUUUAUCACUCAGGAAUUUUCAUUAGAUCUCCUGUACAGAUCCUCCUUAUUAUCAGCUAUAAAUAGAGAUCAGCUAAUUUGAUGAAGAGCUUGUAAGUCUACAGAUAAUUGAGCAAAUACAUCAUGGUUUAAAAAAAAAACUCACAAGAGAUGACAUGACAGUCAUAGUUAGCAAAGCUGAGAAGUGGAGAGGAGGGGGUGUGUGGAGGAACAGUGAUGGGGAUGUGUGACACAGCAGUUCCAAAGCCAGCCUGAGGAGCCCCUGGUCCCUCCUCACAUUCUUCUGCUUGCCUGCCUUCCUUUCCCAUCUUUUAGCUCCCCUCCCUCCAUUUGCUUCUUGACCAUAGAGUACUUUUGCUGACAUUUAGACUGGUGUGGAAAUCCCAGUGUAGCCCAGGCUAGCCUCAGGUUUGUGGUUCUUUGCUCUCAGCUUUUGAGUGCAAUUGGCUUCGUUGUCUUUUACAUCUCAAGGGUAGGAGUUGAAACCCUGGGGGAAAUCUGUGCCUUCAUACCUAGGGAGCCAUAUUCUUACGGUUGCACAGAAAGUGUAAAUGUAUGUGUUACGUCUCAAUGUUGACAAAGGGAUGCCUAUUAGGCUGUGUUCCCUUUAGGCCUCUGUACUCUUUAUCCUGGAUAUCAAGGCUAUGUGUGUAGAACUAGCCAGUGGGUUAAUGCUUCUUGAUGUGAAUGUGGCACUCAGUGUCUCCCAGACUUCCACACCGUAGGUUAUUUUGCCCACCUGUGCACAUGUAUUCCAUGCCUUGCUUGACUAUUUGGCUAUGCGACUGUAAGCCAUGACAUGUGAUCUAAUUAGGGGAACGUUAAUGGGGACAGUACAGCAGAAUAUUUUAAUUUGGAACAAUGUCCUGCAUGAACUCUAAAAGCCCUUAGUCAGGCGUGGUGGCACACGUCUUUAAUCCCAGCACUCGGAGGCAGGCGGAUUUCUGAGUUUGAGGCCAGCCUGGUCUACAGAGUGAUUUCCAGGACAGCCAGGGCAACACAGAGAAAUCCUGUCUCGAAAAACCAAAAAAAAAAGUAAAAGCCCUUAUAGAAUCCUUCUCUGUGCCAGACAUUGUUAUAAACGGGGAGGAACAAUGGUGACAAAACUUAAAAAGAAAUUCUUGUUCCCUAGAUAGGGGAGAUAGGGACAAUAGAUUAUUGACAGAUCAGGUAGACAAUAGGUGAUAGAUCAGGUAGACAGUGGAUGAUUGAUAAAUCAGGUAGACAGUGGAUGAUUGACCGAUUAGGUAGACAGUGGAUGAUUGACAGAUUAGGUAGACAGUGGAUGAUUGACAGAUCAGGUAGACAGUGGAUGAUUGACAGAUCAGGUAGACAGUGGAUGAUUGACAGAUUAGGUAGACAGUGGAUGAUUGACAGAUUAGGUAGACAGUGGAUGAUUGACAGAUCAGGUAGACAGUGGAUGAUUGACAGAUCAGGUAGACAGUGGAUGAUUGACAUCAGGUAGGCUUGAUGAGGAUGGGUAGUAGGAAGAAAGCAAAGCAUGGAGAGGGGUUAGCGAGUGUUUCUUAGUGGGUGGAGAGCAUAGUUCUUGGUGGGUGAGCCAUGUUAUCUGAGACAGAGUAUAUGCUGUAUAGCGGAUUUUGAGUCUUCUACACGGUUUCCUUAGAUUCUAUAACCUGCUCAGACUGUAAGAAUAAAAGGGAACUUUUAGUAUACGGGGUGGGUAGAAUCACUAAAAAUUAAUUUAUACCCAAACAUCCCAAAGACCUUUGGUUGUAGUAGGUCACUUGAAAUCAACAGACACAGCCAAGGAGCAGUCAAAGAUCCGGACACAGGUGCAUAAGUAAACACGGCAAAGCGAGCUCCUGAUUUCUAGCUGAUUCUGGAUCUCUCCGCCCCCAGCACAGUUGUCCUUUUUUUAAAAAAUUUAUUUAUUAUUAUAUGUAAGUAGCUGUCUUCAGACACACCAGAAGAGGGCGUCGGAUCUCAUUAUGGAUGGUUGUGAGCCACCAUGUGGUUGCUGGGAAUUGAACUCAAGACCUUCGGAAGAGCAGUCAGUGCUCUUAACCACUGAGCCAUCUCACCAGCCCCACGGUUGUCAUUUUUAAUGUAGGCAAGGAUAAUCGUGAUGAGGAAGAAGCAGUAACACACACACACACACACACACACACACUGCAACUUAGCCUACAUAGGUAGAAUCUGGCAGCCGCCUCUAAUCCUGGAAAACACAUCGGGUUGGCCUGUCAUAAAAACAGUCCUUCUGGCCAUUGAGCAAACAAGAAAUCCUCAAUUCGGGGCACAGUGAAUCUUGGCCUUGUGAGCACACUUGCUUUAGGUAUGUAUUUUGGCUUUUAUUCUGACUUAAAAACAAAAAACAAACAAACAAAAACACCUAAGUAUUUUCUGGCAUUGCCAUCAAUGUUCUUAGUGGCUUUAAUUAACAUCAUUUUAUCUGCUGUUUCUGAAAGCCACAUGGAUCUUACAUUUAUGUUUGUCAGCUCAUUUAAUCCCUUAGUAUUAUUACCAAGAAAGAUAUUACCUAAGCUAAUUU